CCGUCGUCAGUUCGUACUGUGAAGCAUCCUGUUAAGUCAGGCAACGAGCGAGACCCACGCCAGCAGUUGCCAGCUCGUCCUCCGGGGAUGGUGGGGACGCUGUUGGGACCGCCUCUGCUAAAGAGGAGGAAGGAAUGGGCAACGGUAGGUCAGCAUGCCCCGAAUUAUCUGGGCUACACGCGGGCUACAAUGGGUGGGACAAUGGGUAUCGACACCGAAAGGUGAAGGCAAUCUCCUAAACCCAUCCGUAGUUCGGAUUGUGGGCUGCAACUCGCCCACAUGAAGCUGGAAUCUGUAGUAAUCGUGUCCCAAAAUGGCACGGUGAAUAUGUCCCUGCUCCUU
rnacentral:rRNA from 1 species